GAUGAACGCUGGCGGCGUGCCUAAUACAUGCAAGUCGAGCGAAUGGAUUAAGAGCUUGCUCUUAUGAAGUUAGCGGCGGACGGGUGAGUAACACGUGGGUAACCUGCCCAUAAGACUGGGAUAACUCCGGGAAACCGGGGCUAAUACCGGAUAACAUUUUGAACCGCAUGGUUCGAAAUUGAAAGGCGGCUUCGGCUGUCACUUAUGGAUGGGCCCGCGUCGCAUUAGCUAGUUGGUGAGGUAACGGCUCACCAAGGCAACGAUGCAUAGCCGACCGGGGAGGGUGAUCGGCCACACUGGGACUGAGACACGGCCCAGACUCCUACGGGAGGCAGCAGUAGGGAAUCUUCCGCAAUGGACGAAAGUCUGACGGAGCAACGCCGCGUGAGUGAUGAAGGCUUUCGGGUCGUAAAACUCUGUUGUUAGGGAAGAACAAGUGCUAGUUGAAUAAGCUGGCACCUUGACGGUACCUAACCAGAAAGCCACGGCUAACUACGUGCCAGCCGCCGCUGUAA
rnacentral:rRNA from 1 species